CAAGUCGAGCGAGAAACCACACCUUCGGGUGUGGGAGUAAAGCGGCGAACGGGUGAGUAACGCGUGGGUAACCUACCCCUAAGUCCGGGAUAACCCUGCGAAAGCGGGGCUAAUACCGGAUACAGCCUCCAAGGCUGUGGCUUUGGAGGUGAAAGGUGACCUCUCCAUUGGAAGUUGCCGCUUAGGGAUGGGCCCGCGUCCUAUCAGCUAGUUGGUGGGGUAAUGGCCCACCAAGGCUAUGACGGGUAGCUGGUCUGAGAGGACGGCCAGCCACACUGGCACUGAGACACGGGCCAGACUCCUACGGGAGGCAGCAGUGGGGAAUCUUGGGCAAUGGGCGAAAGCCUGACCCAGCGACGCCGCGUGGGUGAAGAAGGCCUUCGGGUCGUAAAGCCCUGUCAGGUGGGAAGAAAGGCCCAGGGUUAAGAGCCUUGGGCUCUGACGGUACCACCAGAGGAAGCCACGGCUAACUCCGUGCCAGCAGCCGCGGUAAUACGGAGGUGGCAAGCGUUACCCGGAAUCACUGGGCGUAAAGGGCGUGUAGGCGGUAUGGCAAGUCAGCCGUGAAAGCCCGGAGCUCAACUCCGGAAGUGCGGUUGAUACUGCCAUACUAGAGCUCGGGAGAGGGGAGCGGGAUUCCCGGUGUAGGGGUGAAAUCCGUAGAUAUCGGGAAGAACACCGGUGGCGAAGGCGGCUCCCUAGCCCGAUGCUGACGCUGAGGCGCGAAGGCGUGGGGAGCGAACAGGAUUAGAUACCCUGGUAGUCCACGCCGUAAACGGUGAGGACUAGGUGUGGUGGGGAUUAAACCCUGCCGUGCCGAAGCUAACGCGUUAAGUCCUCCGCCUGGGGACUACGGCCGCAAGGCUAAAACUCAAAGGAAUUGACGGGGGCCCGCACAAGCGGUGGAGCGUGUGGUUUAAUUCGAUGCAACGCGAAGAACCUUACCUGGGCUUGACAUCCCCGGAACCCUGCCGAAAGGUGGGGGUGCCCCUUUUUGGGGAACCGGGUGACAGGUGGUGCAUGGCCGUCGUCAGCUCGUGUCGUGAGAUGUUGGGUUA
rnacentral:rRNA from 1 species